rnacentral:rRNA from 1 species
GAUGAACGCUGGCUACAGGCUUAACACAUGCAAGUCGAGGGGAAACGACGGGGAAGCUUGCUUCCCCGGGCGUCGACCGGCGCACGGGUGAGUAACGCGUAUCCAACCUGCCUCUGACUGAGGGAUAACCCGUCGAAAGUCGGCCUAAUACCUCAUGGCAUCGUCUGCGGGCAUCCAACGACGAUUAAAGAUUUCAUCGG